CGGCACGGGUGAGUAACACGUAUGCAAUCCACCUGUAACAGGGGGAUAACCCGGAGAAAUCCGGACUAAUACCCCAUAAUAUGGGCGCUCCGCAUGGAGAGCCCAUUAAAGAGAGCAAUUUUGGUUACAGACGAGCAUGCGCUCCAUUAGCCAGUUGGCGGGGUAACGGCCCACCAAAGCGACGAUGGAUAGGGGUUCUGAGAGGAAGGUCCCCCACAUUGGAACUGAGACACGGUCCAA
rnacentral:rRNA from 1 species